AAGCGUUGUCCGGAUUUAUUGGGCGUAAAGAGCGUGUAGGCGGCCAUGCAGGUCCGCUGUGAAAACUCGAGGCUCAACCUCGAGAGGUCGGUGGAAACCGCAUGGCUAGAGUCCGGAAGAGGAGAGUGGAAUUCCCGGUGUAGCGGUGAAAUGCGCAGAUAUCGGGAGGAACACCGGUGGCGAAGGCGGUUCUCUGGGCCUGUACUGACGCUGAGGAGCGAAAGCGUGGGGAGCGAACAGG
rnacentral:rRNA from 1 species